rnacentral:rRNA from 1 species
UACAGAGGUCUCAAGCGUUGUUCGGAUUUAUUGGGCGUAAAGGGUGCGCAGGCUGUAUGGUAAGUUUGGUGUGAAAUCCUGGGGCUUAACCCCAGAAUUGCACUGAAUACUGCCGUGCUAGAGGACUGGAGAGGAGAUUGGAAUUCACGGUGUAGCAGUGAAAUGCGUAGAUAUCGUGAGGAAGACCAGUGGCGAGGGCGAAUCUCUGGACAGUUCCUGACGCUCAUGCACGAAGGCCAGGGGAGCAAACGGG